GCCCUCUUAGCUCAAUUGGUAGAGCAACGGUAUCGUAAAUCGGAGGUUGCCGGUUCAAUUCCGGCAGAGGGCU
rnacentral:tRNA from 1 species